rnacentral:lncRNA from 10 species
UCAAUAGGACAGAAGAGCUCCUUGGCACUGGAUGCCUCCGGGUCUGGUUGAGAGAGGAAUGGUUAGGAGACUGUUCUGAGGAUACGCAGACAUCAUCCAAAGCUUCCUACAUUCAGAUGAGGACAGAGGUUGGGCCAGAGCUUUGUAAGCUUGUUACCUAAGGAUGGUUCUGACCAUGUAAGCAGAUCACAGAAGCUGGAGGCAAAGGAUGCCAAGAUGGGAAAGCCACAUAAUGGAAGGAUCCUGGAUUUCAGAGCUGUCACUUGGAGGAGGGGCACCCAGUGAAGGUGUCUUAUCUAACCCACACCAUAUCUUCAUGAAGUGGCCAUAUGGAUUUGAUCCCUAUCCUUCAGAGGUGCUCAGCCUAAGGGAACACGGAUAGUAGAUUAAGCACUGACCAGAGCCAGCCUUGACAAUGUGCUGAUGGCAACCUAGAACAUAAGCAGAGGAGUAUACAGGACAAGAACUUGAUGGUCUCGGGAAAAUGGACAACAUGACUCAGGUGAAAAAGAUUGAUCAUCAGAUGUUUCUUAUGUAUCAACCUGAUAUUUAAAUCCAUGAAGGACAGAGACGACAAAGGCAGGUGGAAUAGAUAGAGAAGAGAUUCAAGGUCUGAGCUCUACAUUACUCAAACUGUUAGAGAUUAGGAAGAAGAGGAAGACCUGGCAAAAGAAUGUCCUGGGAUGUAGAAAGAAAACCAGAAGCUUGUGUUCUCUGGAAACCAAAUGAAGAAAGGGCUUCCAGAAGGACAGACAAAGUGUAGUGUGUCAAAGGCUCCUGAGCAAUCAGAGGAGAGCACAAAGGGGCUCACAGGACUUUGGUAUCUGGAUCACCCAGUGACACUUCCUGAUCACGAGAAACUGUCAGACCAACAGGGGCACUUUCUGAAACCAGCAGUUCUUCAGUGCCCAAAUGCAACCUUGAUGGUUUGAUUUUGGAGGAUGGCAAUUCAUUAACAGCACUCCCCAGUGAUAAAUAUGAAAACCAAUAAAACCCCCCACCCAAGGCAAUCUCUCCCAGCUCCUCGCUUUGAGUAAAGUGAGUAACCUCCAUUUCUGCCAACUCCUGUCUUGUCUGAAGCCACAUUUCCCCAGCAAUGUCACAUAUGCAUUUCUUGAUCCUGGUCAUUUCUCCUCUUGGGAGAUGAAUCAUAAAGAAAAUGAGAUCUGUGUGCCCUGGUGACUAUGGAUGCAAGAGUCUGCUGCCCUGGAGGGAACAGCUGGAAAAGUAGAUGGUGAAGACGUGUGGGGGGGAAACAGUGGAGAAGGCAUCUUUGCAGGGGAUCAAGGUGACAGAGUGAUUAGUUACACUGUUUUGACAUGUGAGAACAGGGGGUUAUAAAAAUGGAUACAGGAAGAGGGAGAGAAAGUAAGGACCAAAACAUGAAGCCAGUCAUGAAUGUUUUUACAUAAAAAGCAGCAGAUUUACGGCAAAUAUGUGAUGUUUCCACAUUUUCUGCCUCUAGUUAGCAGGGGCAGCACAAAGAGCAUUACUGUGGAGCUGAACUUUGGGUAAAAGAUUAACAGCCAGUCCUUUCUCUCCAGUGUCUGCUUCCUUCUGGGCUUGCCCUGGGGGAAAAGGAGGGCUGGCAUGGAUAUGCCUGCAGCCCUCACCCUAGAUGUUCUUCCACGCCUCUCUGUUCAUUCAUUGCUUAGUCAUUCCUCAGGCAUGGAUUGAGACCACUGUGUGCCCAGGACCGACCUGGCCUAGGAUGGACAUAGAGAUGGAAAAGGCACAGGGAGCAGGUGACAGAGACAAAUCAAGGUCAUGGAGAAUAGCAGAGUAAGAUAGAAGAUGAAGGCAGGAGAUGGGGUUCUUGAGAAAGCGAGAGCAGGACUGACCCGUGUCUGCCUCACCUGUUAUUGCUGUAGCCUCUUCUCCUUGGAGUAUCCCUCCUGCUCUUGCAUCACCUUAGGAACUUGGAUCAGAGAGGAAAGUUACGGCCUGGAUAUGUUGUAGUAGGAGGGGACAAACAUGUUUGGAGACAGAAAUGCUUGGGGAGCGGGUGUUUUUGGGGGAUGAGACUUUCCAGGUCUCUCAAUUCACACUAUGUAGGUAGUUCACUGCACAGCUUAAAUAAGAGACAACUCUCCGGAGUGGUUGGCUCUCAUCCAAAAAAUGUGUUUUGGGCCUCAGAUUUCCAACGGAAGGGCUGAAGCGUGACUGGCCUGAUGUCAACUACUGAAGUCCACCUGCCCCUGCCCUAUCAGGUGUGGAAAUGCUGGGGUUCCUCUCUCAGAACCUACUUCCUGAGAUGUCGAAAUAUACCCAAGAGUAUUUCUGGGCCUUCUCCAAUCCGAAACUGUUUAGUUUUUGUGUGUGUGUGCCUACUUGGCCACACUAGAAGACAGAGGUGGCCUGGGUGAAAUGCAGGUUUCUAGAGGCUCUCUGACAAAGCUCAGGCCACCAGCCCCAGGCCAGCCUGUGGGUAGUCCUGGCUGACAGUCACUUCAUACCUCACCUGGGCUUUUUGCCAAAUUCAAAGUGUGUGUAUAUGUGGAGUGCUGGGUUCCCACCACUGACAGUCUGUAAGUCAUUCACUUAGCUCAAUUUGUCUUACUUUCUUCUGAAAUUUCUUCCUUCUUGUUCUUUUUCCCAGGAGAAACCAGGAGAAGGCAGUCCUAGGGCAGUCUCCGGGCCAGCUUUCCCUAAUAAGAAGGCAGAGCUCCUCUUCACCCAGACUUCAGACCUAUAGAGGCAGCCUGGGGUCCCGGGAUGCCCUUGCACUCAGAGAUGUCCCCAGAGUCCUAGGGAAAUGGAGGAUAACUAGGAGGAAGCUGUUCAUGGCUGGCGAUGAGGUCUAUACCUUCUUGUCCGUCUCAGUGCUGUCUGCUAUUGAAUUUUUGUGCAGAUCACAUUAACUUAAAGCCAGUUCUCAAGAAGCUCCCCCUGCCGCCGGCAUAUCCACCAGUUGCUCCCCUUUCCUGCCAUUAAUCAGGGUCUGCUAGUUAGAGAACAAAUUCCUAUUUGUCCAAACAGUUGCCAACACCCCCACCCCAAGGUAGUUAAAUGAGGAUGAAUGGGUCAUUCUUAUUAAAAAAUGACUUAAAUUUCUCAAAUUCUAUUUAUGUUUCUUUUACAUCCCAAUUUUCUAUAGAUUUAGUGACUCCAAAUGAUAAGGUCUCAAGCUCAUAAUAAUUUAUCCCUUGGGUAACACACAAGGCUUGGUGGUAUUUCAGUAAUAUUCAUGACAACAGCAGCUGUCGUGCUAAUAAGGACUGAUGUCACCAGAGCACUUUCUAUGUGCCAAGCAUGGUGCACAACACUUUACAUACAUUAUGUCAUUUAAUUUUCACAAAACCUCACAGAGGUAAAUAUUAUUAUCUUCCUCUGCAUAUAAGGAAAUGAAUGUUCGGAAAGAUUAAGUCAACUCACUGAGGUCCCAUCAGUGCUCUUUCAUAUGCCUCUGUUGCAGUCUCAUUGAACUGCUGAAAUCAGAAAAACCUGGAGACCUUGUUAACCUUCAGAUUCCUGGGCCCCAUCUUAGAUGCAGGGAGUCAGACUUCCUGGGAGUGUGGCCCUGGAAUUUUCAUUUGUAAACACAUUCCCCAAGAGACCUGUAUGCACACUAAAGUGGGAGAAUUCACGAUCUCUGGCUUUUGUGAUGUUUUAAACGCACUAUAUAAUUUCAGUAGCAAAAGAAUUGGGCUUUGGGAAGGGAGUGUGUGGUGAACCCUGAAAGCUGAAUGGACUUCCUUCCUGUGGAGGAGCAGUGGGAGAAACUGGAGGCAGAGAGCUGUGUUUCAUUCCUUGAUUGAGCCUUUGUGAGUUAUUUAAUCUCUUUCAGUCUCUAUUUUUUUCAUUUGUAAACCAGGAAGGAUACUUGUAUUUUCCAGGUGGUUGUGAGGUGUGAAAGAGAUGAGAGUAGAACAAAAUUUUAAAAGUUGAAAGCACUCAACAAAUGUAUUUGGUAUUAAUCAUGGGUUUCCCUGGGGCCGAGGAAGCCACCAGCCACCGCAGGCCUGUACACAAUGCCAGCCACCAUGUAUGGAUACGGAGGAGGCAAAAGGACUAGCGAACACUCCCAGGGACUGGAUGUCUUGAAUAUCUGUCCAACUUUCUUGGGAGGGGCCAUUUCUUCUGUAACUCAAAGGAAUUUAUUAUUUUUCAGCCAGGGAGGCAUGCUUUCUAUCUACUGCUAGUACUCCCAGACCAAGCUGUUUCAGUGGGACUGAGGUGUGACUUCUGCCUCGGUUUCAUCCAUCUGUGCAGGGAAGAGAAAAAUGCCUGCACCUCCACGGUCACACCCUCUGUUGGAACCACCUCCUUAAGCCAGAAUUAUUGAAUGUUCUCUAUGUGCCAGAAUUAUUAUUAUCUCAUUUGAUUCUCACAACAAUGCCAUGAAGUCUAUACAGACAUACCUUGGAAAUACAGCGGGUUUGGUUCCAGACCACCGCAAUAAAGCUAAUACCGCAAUAAAAUGGGUCACACGAAUUUUUUGGAUUAGGCUUCGGCUUAAGGGAAUGUUGUGGCUGGUUUGAUGUUUUAUCCAGACCGCUAACACUUUCUCCCUAUCAGCAAUGAGGCUGUUUUGCUUUCUUAUCAUUCCUGUGUUCACUGGAGUAGCACUUUUAAUUUCCUUCAAGAACUUUUCCUUUGCAUUCAUAACUUGGCUAACUGUUUGGCACAAGAGGCCUGCCUAGCUUUUGGCCUAUCUAAGCUUUUGACUUGCCUUCCUCACUGAGCUUAAUCAUCUCUAGCCUUGGAUUUAACGUGGAAAAUGUGUGACCCUUCCUUUCACUUGAACACUUGGAAGCUAUUGUAGGGUUAUUAACUGGCCUAAUUCAAUAUUAUUGUGUCUCAGGGAACAGGGAGGCCCAGAGAGAGAGAGACGGGAAAACAGAAAGUCAGUGGGGCAGGCAGAACACACACGUUUAUUUAUUAAGUUUGCUGUCAUAUGUUGGUGCAGUUCAUGCUGCCCCAAAACAAUUACAAUAACAAGAUCAAAGAUUCCUGGUCAUAGAUUGCCAUAACAGAUACAGUAAUCACGAAAAAGUUUGAGAUAUUGUGAGAAUUACGCAGAUAUUGUGAGAAAUAUGACCCAGAGACAAGAAGCGAGCACAUGCCGUUAGAAAAAUGGCACCAACAGACUUGCUUGCUGCAGGGUUACACAUACCUUCAAUUUGUAAAAAAAAAAAACUGUAAUAUCUGCAAAACGCAAUAAAGAAAAGUGUAAUAAAAUGCA